rnacentral:rRNA from 1 species
GUUGAACGCUGGCGGCAGGCUUAACACAUGCAAGUCGAGCGGGGUGAUGGUGCUUGCACAAUCACUUAGCGGCGGACGGGUGAGUAAUGCUUAGGAAUCUGCCUAUUAGUGGGGGACAACAUCUCGAAAGGGAUGCUAAUACCGCAUACGUCCUACGGGAGAAAGCAGGGGAUCACUUGUGACCUUGCGCUAAUAGAUGAGCCUAAGUCGGAUUAGCUAGUUGGUGGGGUAAAGGCCUACCAAGGCGACGAUCUGUAGCGGGUCUGAGAGGAUGGUCCGCCACACUGGGGCGGGGACACGGCCCAGACUCCUACGGGGGGCAGCAGUGGGGAAUAUUGGACAAUGGGGGGAACCCUGAUCCAGCCAUGCCGCGUGUGUGAAGAAGGCCUUAUGGUUGUAAAGCACUUUAAGCGAGGAGGAGGCUCUUUUGGUUAAUACCCAAGAUGAGUGGACGUUACUCGCAGAAUAAGCACCGGCUAACUCUGUGCCAGCCGCCGCAGUAA